CAGUAGCCGCGGUAAAACGGAGGGGGCUAGCGUUGUUCGGAAUUACUGGGCGUAAAGCGCACGUAGGCGGCUUGGUAAGUUAGAGGUGAAAGCCCAGGGCUCAACCCUGGAAUUGCCUUUAAGACUGCCGAGCUAGUAGGUGAGAGAGGUAAGUGGAAUUCCGAGUGUAGAGGUGAAAUUCGUAGAUAUUCGGAAGAACACCAGUGGCGAAGGCGGCUUACUGGCUCAUUCUAGACGCUGAGGUGCGAAAGCGUGGGGAGCAAACAGGAUUAGAGACCCGCGUAGUCCCUGUCUCUUAGAA
rnacentral:rRNA from 1 species